AUGUCCGUAACUCUUUUUUUUUUUAGCUUCGUGUUUUGGUUCCGUAGCUCACACAUGAAGUUGGCUUAUUUCUUGGUUUAUACUUUAUACCUAUUGCUUGUAUCAUUUUAAUACUCCGCAGACAUUAAAAUGUUUCUAAUUCCAAUUUUUGCAAAAAGAUGGUCGUUUCCCAGCAUUGUCACACCAGACCAAAUAUCCUUAAUUGAGGCCUGAUAUAAUGAGGAUGGAUGAUGCUGACACUCACCGUCGCUGCAUUUUGACGUGUCACUGGUUUUAUUGCGUGAAGGUGUUCUGUAAUGGGAAAAUUAGGGGGGUACAGAAAGAAUCCUUAAACUUCAAAUUUUUCAUUAUUUCUUAGAUUUUAUGUAAAAGAAAACCAGAAUUAUGGUUCGACAUUAAUUAACGACGAAUUUAUUUUGUUGCUUGACCCAUAACAUGAGCCCGAAUAAAACCCCAAAGUCCAUUUUUCA